rnacentral:SRP_RNA from 1 species
ACCGGGCGCGGUGGCACAUGCCUGUAGUCACAGCUACUCAGGAGGCUGAGGUGGGAGGAUCACUUGAGCCCAGGAGUUCUGGGCUGUAGUGCGCUAUGCUGAUCGGAUGUCCACACUAAGUUCGGCAUCAAUAUGGUGACCUCCAGGAGUGGGGGACCACCAGGUUGCCUAAGGAGGGGUGAACCGGCCCAGGUCAGAAACGGAGCAGGUCAAAACUCCCGUGCUGAUCAGUAGUGGGAUCGCGCCUGUGAAUAGCCACUGCACUCCAGCCUGGGCAACAUAGCGAGACCCCCAUCUCU